rnacentral:rRNA from 1 species
UACCAGCACCCCGAGUUGUCGGGACGAUUAUUGGGCCUAAAGCAUCCGUAGCCUGUUCUGCAAGUCCUCCGUUAAAUCCACCUGCUUAACGGAUGGGCUGCGGGGGAUACCGCAGAGCUAGGAGGCGGGAGAGGCAAACGGUACUCAGUGGGUAGGGGUAAAAUCCUCUGAUCCAUUGAAGACCACCAGUGGCGAAGGCGGCUUGCCAAUACGCGCUCGACGGUGAGGGAUGAAAGCUGGGGGAGCAAACCGG